UGGAACUGCCAUCAAAACUUUUUAGCUAGAGUAUGAUAGAGGAAAGCAGAAUUUCUAGUGUAGAGGUGAAAUUCGUAGAUAUUAGAAAGAAUACCAAUUGCGAAGGCAGCUUUCUGGAUCAUUACUGACGCUGAGGAACGAAAGCAUGGGUAGCGAAGAGGAUUAGAUACCCUCGUAGUCCAUGCCGUAAACGAUGUGUGUUAGACGUUGGAAAUUUAUUUUCAGUGUCGCAGCGAAAGCAUUAAACACACCGCCUGGGGAGUACGACCGCAAGGUUAAAACUCAAAUGAAUUGACGGGGACCCGCACAAGUAGUGGAGCAUGUGGUUUAAUUCGAAGAUACGCGCAGAACCUUACCAACACUUGACAUGUUCGUCGCGACUUUAAGAGAUUAAAGUUUUCGGUUCGGCCGGACGAAACACAGGUGCUGCAUGGCUGUCGUCAGCUCGUGUCGUGAGAUGUUGGGUUAAGUCCCGCAACGAGCGCAACCCUCACUUUUAGUUGCCAUCAUUAAGUUGGGCACUCUGAAAGAACUGCCAGUGAUAAGCUGGAGGAAGGUGGGGAUGACGUCAAGUCCUCAUGGCCCUUACGUGUUGGGCUACACACGUGCUACAAUGGCAUUUACAAUAGGAAGCAAGAUGGCGACGUCAAGCAAAUCCUAAAAAGAUGCCUCAGUUCGGAUUGUACUCUGCAACUCGAGUACAUGAAGCUGGAAUUACUAGUAAUCGCGGAUCAGCGCGCCGCGGUGAAUACGUUCCCUGGUCUUGUACACACCGCCCGUCACACCAUGGGAGUUGGUUCUACCUUAAGGCAAGGUUUAAAACCCUUGACCACGGUAUAGUCAGCGACUGGGGUGAAGUCGUAACAAGGUAACCGUA
rnacentral:rRNA from 1 species